rnacentral:rRNA from 1 species
UGGGGAAUCUUGCACAAUGGGCGCAAGCCUGAUGCAGCCAUGCCGCGUGAAUGAUGAAGGCCUUAGGGUUGUAAAAUUCUUUCGCCAGGGAUGAUAAUGACAGUACCUGGUAAAGAAGCCCCGGCUAACUUCGUGCCAGCAGCCGCGGUAAUACGAAGGGGGCUAGCGUUGUUCGGAAUUACUGGGCGUAAAGCGCGCGUAGGCGGCUAUCCAAGUCAGGGGUGAAAUCCCGGGGCUCAACCCCGGAACUGCCCUUGAAACUAGGUAGCUAGAAUACUGGAGAGGUGAGUGGAAUUCCGAGUGUAGAGGUGAAAUUCGUAGAUAUUCGGAAGAACACCAGUGGCGAAGGCGACUCACUGGACAGUUAUUGACGCCGAGGUGCGAAAGCGUGGGGAGCAAACAGGAUUAGAUACCCCCGUAGUCC